GCUUACGGCCGUACCACCUUAGGCACGCCCGAUCUCGUCUGAUCUCGGAAGCUAAGCAGGUUCGGGCCUGGUUAUUACUUGGAUGGGUGACCGCCUGGGAAUACCAGGUGCUGUAAGCA
rnacentral:rRNA from 10 species